AUCUCUUCUUCUCCGUCCAAAUUUUAUUAAGAAACUUUUAGCCCUAAAAGUUCAAACCAUCUGUAUACAUACACGGACAGAGAGCUCAAUUUAAUUUUUAUUGAAAUCCCAAUAAGGAAAUCGGUAUUCUGUAUUAAUCCUAACUGUUGUUAGAACAUAUUAAUUCAAUUUUGCUUAUUUUGAGUGGACUUGAAUUUGGACACUCCAAAUCGCUGUGCACCCUGACCAUUUAUGUCAAUAAUCAUAAGAACAAGGAUAGUUAUGUCAUUUGGAGUAUACAUUAUCUAAUCACCUUUCUCCAUUUCUUCAUUUUUCAUGAAACUCAAUUCCAAUUUCUUACGAAGGGGUUAUAAUCCAUAAAAAUGGAAACCAUGUCUAUACACACAGUGAAGAGCUUGAUUUAUCAUUACAAACUCAAUUCUAAUGCUUCAAAAUGUUUCUAUUACAUCCUUUCCCUAAAUUUUGAAACCCUAAUAUUUUCUUCAAUCAGAAAAUCAAAAUCAAAAUCAUUUUCUUGAUAAAACAGUGGAUGGGAAUGCUGUUGAUAGUGAUGAUUUACCAAUUACUACUACUUCAAAUGAUUAGCCUGUGGAGAUUCAAAAUGGAUUUGGGAGUGGGUUCUUAAACAUGUGAUAGAGAUGCAGGUCCAUACAACUGUGAAAAAUCUGCUCAAGUCAGACUUAGAAAACCAAGCUGGUAGGACAUAUGAUACUAAAUCAAAAGUAAUGAUUUCUACACUGAGUAUAGCAGUGCAUUGGAUAUGUUUGGGUAUUCGCUGGAAAGGUGUGGAAUAUUGCCAGCAUCAUCUGCAUUUAACUUGUCUGCAGCAAGAUACAGGUACAAAUCAGAGCCAUGAUCAAAGAUAAAAAGAACCAAAGGAUGUGAAAAACAAAGUGGUAUUCAUACCUCUACCAAGAACUUUGCAAAUGAUACACUGUCUGGUUCAAGUGCAUCCAACCUCAUAUUUUGGUGCAGCGAAAAUACAGUGACGUCAUCCCAAAGAAGCGAUCUCCUCAGACAUGCUCCAACUACUGCUUCGCGACAUCCACCGGCUAUAACAGGCAACGUCUGCCUAAAGUCUCCUCCUAAAACAACGCAUUUUAGACUGUGGAUCUUGUUUGUCAACUCCACAAACGCUGUUCUCAGCUAUUUCAAAGGGAAUCCUGAACGUAGAGUGCGCUGUACGACCUCCUACCAGCAGAAGUGAAGCAAUGCCAGACGAAGCAACAGUCAAAACUAUGUGUCCAUCCCUGCGGCAGCUAGAUGCCAAUGUGUUAUACAGAAAUGUUUUACCGCUUCCCGCACUGCCAUUUAGAAAAAACAGUUUACCCUCACCAUCUCUCACAGAAUUAAACAUGGCAUUGUAUGCUGAUGUCUGGGCAGAAUUCAGCUUCCGGAUGCUCUCUUCGACCUCAGCAUCACUCACUGCAAGUUGUAGGCACCUAUGCUCCAACAUAAACUUGUCACCAACAGCAUCACUCCAUGGUAGUUUUGAUCUUGGCAUAUCCUCGAAAUCUUCAAGCGACUGCCCAGAUUCACGCAACUGUUCAUCCAACAGUUUCCUGGAAUCACCAUCCUCAACUGUUUUCAGCGUGUCAAAUGAAUCUGCACCGGCUACAACUGUUAGUAAUAACCGCAGUGGGAUGCUUGCUAUAAUACUCAAAGAACCCCAUCAAUGUCGACUUAUAGUUUUCUGCAGCAAUAGUGACCCUGUCCAUUGACUUAGUUGAAUCAUACACAAAUCUCUGCUGGUUGGGAAGAUGAAUAGCCAAGCGAACCACAUUAGGUUCUUCCUGAUGCAUCGAGUACCCAUAUAAACGCCACGCAGCCUCAGGUAAGGAUUGUACGGAACAACAUUUGUGUUGUUUGCUUUGAACCCAGUUCGGACAAAUAUCUCCUUCCCAUUGUCACGGCGGCGAUAUACUGGAUAUCCACCUUCGUCCAUACUUGUACUCUCGGACCAUCCAGGAAUAUAAGAGCAUGCAUAUGAGGUAAACCACGUUUUUGAAAUUCUAUUGUGAACACAUGAGCAACAACCUUUCCGAACACAUUCCCUUUUUUUAUUUCUUUCAUCAACUCGGCUCUCUUUAACUCGAAUACACGUGCUAUGAGAUCUGGACGAUCCGACGCAUAUUGAUGCGAUUCAAGCGCAUCUUGAAUUUCUGGCCAACGCGGAUUCACAGUCAUUGUUAGGAAGAUAUCUGGAUGAUGAUUAAACCGUGUAAUGGCCAUUGAAUCUUGAUAAAUUUCAUACAUAUGCCUAGGACCACCGAUAAAACUCGAUGGUAAGACAUAUGGUUUUCCCUUGUCCUCGGGACUCAGUCCAUAUUCCGCUGAGUCCUUUAUAUGCUUGUACGAAUCUGCUCGCAGCUUAUCCUGAUUUAUCUUAAGAUAAUACAGAUUGUUUUGUUCUGUUGAUCCCCGAGCAUCCACCAGGUACUAUUGAAAUAACUUUUUUGCUCUUAGUAUGAUAGAAUACUCGCUUGGGCGCUUAAAAAGACGAUAGCUGUGAAAUUGUUUUAGAGUUAACUGUUUAGUAGUAUGUUCUCCUGUUCCAGGGUCCAGCUGCUUCAUAUCAGGAUGCCAACUCAUCUCGCCAUAUGGAAACAAUAAAACGUAAUGCAGGGGCAAGUAUGCAGGAUGACACCCCGAAAUACGUUUGCAUCCAUGUUUCCCCUUGCGAUGAAGUAUUAUAUCUCUGAAGUUGGGUUUCUCAGAACCAUCUCCAGGUAAUAUCACAGAGAUUUCAUCGGCCGUUGGUAACUUAUAUUGCCUUUCAUCUGUAGUUUCAUUGUAGUGCAUGAUGACUUUGACGUUUUGGUCUGCGGGGUUAGCAUUGCUCAAAAGAUCUUGUGCCUGGUAAUAUUUACCGCAAAACACAUUAUAUUUUGAGACAAUUUUCUGAACCUUUUCAAGAAUGUUUUUAUCCAGCUGGGAAUUCCGUUUUGCACGAACAGCCAAGGCUUGAUUUGGAUCGUAGAAAUAAAGCUGGUGAUAGAUUGCCUUACCCUCGUCUGGUAUUAAAGUUCCAGUAUUGUGUCGAAGUUCCCCAUGAAUUGCAAAGCCUUUUGGGCCCUUCCCCUUCACAACCCUCUUAUCCAGUUUGCAACCAAGACUGGUAUAAGCAUUCACAGCAUUAUACUCUCGCAUGUGGUCUCUGUAAAAUUUCGACUCGGCAUCGUCUCCUUCGAGUAAAUCCAUCAGUUCUUGUGGAGGCUCGAGCAAUGAAGGGAGUCUUACUUUUCCUUCGCGGAAACAUCUUGAAAAGAUUGGAUCUUUCUUGGGUGAUUUGCUUGUCCUCUCAUCUAUCCAAUGCAAUGCUCCACAUGAAGAACAUUCAAUAUCCAUUUUACCAAGUUAGACUUUAGGUAAUGCAACAUGACUUUAGUUCCCUUAUGAAAUCACGGGAUGCGAAGCUUGCAGAUGCUACUGGGAUGUUUUUUUCGGUCAAUUGACUGAGGUCGAUUGCAUCACAAUCAGUUAAUAACGGGUCUUCAAGGAAGAGAAGCAGAUUGGGGUUGGUGGUUGAUGUCACCAGGCAGUUCCACUCUCUACUGAAUAAGGGAAGAGACGUGCAUAGCUAGAUUAUCAACUUCUAAGAAGGCUGCAUCUGACUGUUGCUCGCGAUAUCCGUCACUUUCAAUGUACUGUUGCUGUCCCAGCGUUUUAGCUGAGCAAGGACCUUCUACUACAAAUCUUAAGAUCACCAUGCGCCUGUGGCACUCCAGCUAGAUUAUGGGAAGUAGAUACCUGGGUAAACAAAUAAUUAUAAAAACUCUGAGUAAGAUCAGACAAACAAUAGUAAAUCUAUACAAUAAACAUAAAAUUACUUUAGUUUGAAGAGAAGAAUCAUGUAAAUUUUGCUGAUUUCGUUCCGAACUGAGUUGUUUUUCCCUUUUUUUCCCCAACGUUUCAGUUGUCCCGUGGAUCUUUUACUGCUAACGUUAAGAUAAGCAUCUUUUGGUGGCAUAUUUGCUGCAGAAAUUGUGUCAAUGUAUUGGAGACAAUUUGAUGGAACGGAAUCAAGGCUACUCUUUGAUUGGGACUAUUAAUACACAAAUUGAUUAGUGUUUAA